rnacentral:piRNA from 1 species
UGCCUGUAGCCAGGAAAUAAGUUGUGUAG